rnacentral:rRNA from 1 species
AGCAGCCGCGGUAAUUCCAGCUCCAAUAGCGUAUAUUAAAGUUGUUGCAGUUAAAAAGCUCGUAGUUGAAUUUCGGGAUUAGUAAGUUGGUCGUGCCUCUGGUAUGUACUGGCUUUACUGGUUCCUCCUUCUUGAAGAACUGUAAUGUCAUUAAUUUGGUGUUGCAGGGAAACAGGACUGUUACUUUGAAAAAAUUAGAGUGUUUAAAGCAGGCUAACGCUUGAAUACAUUAGCAUGGAAUAAUGAAAUAGGACGUUUGAUCCUAUUUUGUUGGUUUCUAGGAUUGACGUAAUGAUUAAUAGGGAUAGUUGGGGGCAUUAGUAUUCAAUUGUCAGAGGUGAAAUUCUUGGAUUUAUUGAAGACUAACUACUGCGAAAGCAUUUGCCAAGGAUGUUUUCAUUAAUCAAGAACGAAAGUUAGGGGAUCGAAGACGAUCAGAUACCGUCGUAGUCUUAACCAUAAACUAUAGCCGACUAGGGAUCGGAUGAUGUUAAUUUUUUAAUGACUCAUUCGGCGCCUU